CACGAAGGGAGAAGAAAACAUGGGAGAGGAGUACAAGGGAGGAAGGAAUGUUGAGGAAGAAGAGAAAGGCUGGGGUGAAGCACAGAGAGAUGUGGGCUCAGAACAGGAUGAAGAUGAUAUUGAUAAUAGGAGGAAGAAAAUGACAGAUUUGUUUGGCGGUGCUGAAGAAACAUUAGAAAAACCCUUGGUUAACAUCAGUGAACUUGGUACAGACACAGUGACUGUGGAUCCAGAGAGGAAGGGAGAGCUCACGGUGUCUCCAGGGUCACAGCUAAGUCCCAGCUUAU